rnacentral:rRNA from 1 species
UGGGGAAUAUUGCACAAUGGGCGCAAGCCUGAUGCAGCCAUGCCGCGUGUGUGAAGAAGGCCUUCGGGUUGUAAAGCACUUUCAGCGGGGAGGAAGGCGUUAAGGUUAAUAACCUUGGCGAUUGACGUUACCCGCAGAAGAAGCACCGGCUAACUCCGUGCCAGCAGCCGCGGUAAUACGGAGGGUGCAAGCGUUAAUCGGAAUUACUGGGCGUAAAGCGCACGCAGGCGGUUUGUUAAGUCAGAUGUGAAAUCCCCGGGCUCAACCUGGGAACUGCAUCUGAUACUGGCAAGCUUGAGUCGCGUAGAGGGGGGUAGAAUUCCAGGUGUAGCUGUGAAAUGCGUAGAGAUCUGGAGGAAUACCGGUGGCGAAGGCGGCCCCCUGGACGAAGACUGACGCUCAGGUGCGAAAGCGUGGGGAGCAAACAGG